rnacentral:lncRNA from 1 species
AAAAAAACAAAAAAUAUAAAUUACAUUUUAGCCCAUGAUCUUUUCAAAAAUUAUAUUUUGACCCCAAACUUUUCUAUAAAUUACAUUUUAACCCCGAAAUUUUUUUAAAUCACACUUUGACCCCUUAACUUUCCAUAAAUUACAUUAUAGCCCUAUAUUUUGCUAAAAUUUCAUUUUUGCCCCAGAAACUUUUCACCCGUUACAAUUUAGUCCUUCUGGGCAUGACAAGACUGCCCCCACCAGCAUUCUUGCGUGCCCCGCUCGCCACGCCUGCCACCCCAAUGCAUGGCCUCCCUCCUCCAUUGCCACCUGAAAACAAGAAGAAGGAGACAAAAUGAAAUGAGAUUAAAAAUAAAAAUUGAAGAGGAGGAGAGGGGGGUUCUAAAAAAAAAACUUCAAAAAAAAAAACAAAAGAGAAUAAGCAAAGAAAUUCCAAAAAAAAAAAAGCUCUCAAUCCGGCCGAUUGCCUCCACCGCCACCAAGUCCGUCGCGCCACCACCAUUGUCAUCUCACCGUCGAGUCCUAAACGCAAAAAACAAAAACAAAGAAAAAGCAAGCAAAAGAGAAAAAGAGAAAGAGCAGAGAAGAAAAAGAAAAAGGAAAAGGGGGGAGAGCAUACCUCCGUGCGCGCCACCGUCGGCCGACGCACCAGGCGGAGAGACAUCACCGGCGACACAAAGGGGCUGCUGCUGAACGGAGAAGGAAGAAAAAAGAAAGAAGAAAGAAAGAAAGAAAAAAGAAGGAAGACAAAGAAAGAAAAAAGAGAAAAAAAAAGGAAAGAAAAAAAAUAAAAAAAUAAAUUAACAGUCGGGUCAAACCGACCGACCCGACCUGACCCACGGUACCCAGCAGCAGCAACAGGCCCGUUCCCAGUGGCCCAAAACAGUAACCAGCAAAAAAAAAAGAAGCAGCAGAUUUGUUUUAAAAAAAGCAGCAGCCCAACAGAAGCAGGCCUCCAGCAGACCCAUUGCGCAGGCCCAACGUAGGCCCAGCAGCAGCAAGCCUCCAGGCUCAGCAGCAGCAGGCCGAGCAGGCCCCUUUCGGCCCAGCGCCCAGGCCCGAAUCCGGCAGCCCAACAUCCAGCAAAAAAAAAAGGAAAGAGAAGAAAAAAAAAA